UGGGGAAUCUUGCGCAAUGGGCGAAAGCCUGACGUAGCGACGCCGCGUGCGGGAAGAAGGCCUUCGGGUUGUAAACCGCUUUCAGGAGGGACGAGGCCACUCGGGUUAAUAGCCCAGAGGGUGACGGUACCUCCAGAAGAAGCCCCGGCUAACUACGUGCCAGCAGCCGCGGUAAUACGUAGGGGGCUAGCGUUGUCCGGAUUUAUUGGGCGUAAAGAGCGCGUAGGCGGCCGAGUAAGUCCGACGUGAAAUCUGGAGGCUCAACCUCCAGCGGUCGUUGGAAACUACUCGGCUAGAGUCCGGAAGAGGAGAGUGGAAUUCCUGGUGUAGCGGUGAAAUGCGCAGAUAUCAGGAAGAACACCGAUGGCGAAAGCAGCUCUCUGGGACGGUACUGACGCUGAGGCGCGAAAGCGUGGGGAGCGAACAGGAUUAGAUACCCUGGUAGUCCACGCCGUAAACGAUGGGUGCUAGGUGUGGGCGGUGUCGACUCCGCCCGUGCCGAAGCUAACGCA
rnacentral:rRNA from 1 species